AGGUUAGAGGGACCUCAGACUUUACGUUUCGUCAUUUUGUUGUUUUAGAAAAUCAGAGGUAGCUUGCGUUGUUCCAGAUGUGACCUGUGUUGUGUCUAGUGAUGUGCCCGACAGUGAGGUGGUUGCUGCAGCAGAUCAGAUGGAGUCAGAAAUGACACAGAGGAAAAUCUGUCCUCCUGCUAAAUGGAUUCCAGCGCUGCCUGUGGAAGAUCAGCAGUGGAUUUCCAAAGAGCUCUUCAAAUGGU